rnacentral:rRNA from 1 species
UACAGGGGGGGCAAGCGUUGUUCGGAAUUACUGGGCGUAAAGGGCCAGUAGGCGGCCAACUAAGUCCGACGUGAAAUCCCAAGGCUUAACCUUGGAACUGCGUCGGAUACUGGAUGGCUUGAAUUCGGGAGAGGGAUGCAGAAUUCCAGGUGUAGCGGUGAAGUGCGUAGAUAUCUGGAGGAAUACCGGUGGCGAAGGCGGCAUCCUGGACCGACAUUGACGCUGAACGGCGAAAGCUAGGGGAGCAAACGGG